rnacentral:tRNA from 1 species
AAAUUUAGGUUAACCACAAAACAAACCAAGGACCUUCAAAGCCCUAAACAGGGCCACAUAAACGCCCUAAUUUCUG